rnacentral:rRNA from 1 species
GAUGAACGCUGGCGGCGUGCCUAAUACAUGCAAGUCGAGCGAACAGAUAAGGAGCUUGCUCCUUUGACGUUAGCGGCGGACGGGUGAGUAACACGUGGAUAACCUACCUAUAAGACUGGGAUAACUUCGGGAAACCGGGGCUAAUACCGGAUAACAUAUUGAACCGCAUGGUUCAAUAGUGAAAGGCGGCUUUGCUGUCACUUAUAGAUGGAUCCGCGCCGUAUUAGCUAGUUGGUAAGGUAACGGCUUACCAAGGCAACGAUACGUAGCCGACCUGAGAGGGUGAUCGGCCACACUGGAACUGAGACACGGUCCAGACUCCUACGGGAGGCAGCAGUAGGGAAUCUUCCGCAAUGGGCGAAAGCCUGACGGAGCAACGCCGCGUGAGUGAUGAAGGUCUUCGGAUCGUAAAACUCUGUUAUCAGGGAAGAACAAAUGUGUAAGUAACUGUGCACAUCUUGACGGUACCUGAUCAGAAAGCCACGGCUAACUACGUG